ensembl:snRNA U6 U6 spliceosomal RNA
GUGCUUGCUUAGGCAGUAUAUAGACUAAAAUUGGAAUUACACAGAGAAAUUUAGUAUGAUCCUUGUGCAAGCAUGACAUACAGAUUCAUUAUCACUCCACGUUUUU